rnacentral:rRNA from 1 species
AUUGAACGCUGGCGGCAUGCCUUACACAUGCAAGUCGAACGGUAACAGGUCUUCGGAUGCUGACGAGUGGCGAACGGGUGAGUAAUACAUCGGAACGUGCCUAGUAGUGGGGGAUAACUACUCGAAAGAGUGGCUAAUACCGCAUGAGAUCUACGGAUGAAAGCAGGGGAUCGCAAGACCUUGUGCUACUAGAGCGGCAGGUGGCAGAUUAGGUAGUUGGUGGGAUAAAAGCUUACCAAGUCAACGAUCUGUAGCUGGGCGGAGAGGAGGAUCAGCCAACAUGGGACUGGGAAGCGGCCCGGACUCCUACGGGAGGCAGCAGGGGGGAGUUGUGGACAAUGGUCGCAAGCCUGAGCCGGCAAUGCCGCGUGCAGGAUGAAGGCCUUCGGGUUGUAAACUGCUUUUGUACGGAACGAAAAGCCACGGGUUAAUACCCUGGGGUCAUGACGGUACCGUAAGAAUAAGCACCGGCUAACUACGUGCCAGCCGCCGCGGUAA